GGGAAAUCUCAGAGAAACCUGUAAAAUUCCGACAGGACUAGACAGAGUAAAUGCAGGAAGGAUCUUCCCAACGACCAGGGAGUCCAGAACCAGGGGUCACCGUGCAAGGACGUGGACUUCGAACAUUUCAGACUGAGCAAUGAGACAGAACACCAGUGCUCCAUUGGAGGCUCACUGAUGUUACCGAGCAUGGUGAUGAAACAUCUGAGAAGAAAUCUUCCAGCUCAGCGAGGAAACUUACAACCUGAUCCACAAUCAGAGCUAAAAUCUUAGCUAAAAUCGCAAACAUCGCUCAAUGACAGUGAUGAUAAACCUGCUCCAAUGAAGAAGGUGGCAUGCCACACAAAAUUUCUUGAUUUGAUCAAGGGAUCUGGUGGACACUAACAAAGCAACAGCUUUGUUGCUCAUUCCCAGUUGUUGAAAAGUGGGUGGCAGAUCUUUCCUUUCAACUCUUUCAGCUGUUGCUCAUGUUUCCAUUAUUACAUUUCAUGGAUUUCUGAGCCAACCAUUGGUAAAUGAUGCAUUCUACCAGGUAUUAGAAUUCAGCUAACAUACAUGUGAUUUGUGCACAGUAAAUGUCUGAUCUUUAGAAUUUGGGAAAGGAAAACAAAUCCAACAAAAACUCCAGCCUUGCUCAAGAACAAUGUUGACUCUCCUCCAUGACCCAACACCAUAUCACAGGGAGGUGAUGGCCUACCAUUAUUAUCACUAGACUUUUCAUCCAGAGACCUAGGUAAUAUUCAGGUGGCACAGUGGCUAACACUGCUACCUCACAGCACCAGAGACCUGGGUUCGAUUCUGGCCUCAGACAACUGUCUGUGGAAUUUGCACAUUCCCUGUGAAUGAGUGGAUUUUUUCCGGAUGCUCUGGUUUCCUCCCACAAUCCAAAGAUGCGUAGAUCAGGUAAAUUGCCCAUAGAAUUCAGGGGUGUGUAGGUUAGGGGC